rnacentral:rRNA from 1 species
UACGAAGGGGGCUAGCGUUGUUCGGAAUUACUGGGCGUAAAGGGCUCGUAGGUGGCCAACUAAGUCAGACGUGAAAUCCCUCGGCUUAACCGAGGAACUGCGUCCGAUACUGAAAGGCUUGAAUCCGGGAGAGGGAUGUGGAAUUCCCAGUGUAGCGGUGAAAUGCGUAGAUAUCGGGAGGAACACCAGUGGCGAAGGCGGCUUUCUGGUCUGCUCUUGACGCUGAGGCGCGAAAGCUAGGGUAGCAAACGGGG